GACCACGAGUCAUUGGUAGAGUCCCGUAGC
rnacentral:piRNA from 1 species